GUGACCUCAAAUCAGGUAGGACUACCCGCUGAACUUAAGCAUAUCAAUAAGCGGAGGAAAAGAAACUAACAAGGAUUCCCCUAGUAACUGCGAGUGAAGCGGGAAAAGCUCAAAUUUAAAAUCUGUCAGUCUUUGGCUGUCCGAGUUGUAAUCUAGAGAAGUGGUAUCCGCGCUGGACCGUGUACAAGUCUCCUGGAAUGGAGCGUCAUAGAGGGUGAGAAUCCCGUCUUUGACACGGACUGCCAGGGCUUUGUGAUACGCUCUCAAAGAGUCGAGUUGUUUGGGAAUGCAGCUCAAAAUGGGUGGUAAAUUCCAUCUAAAGCUAAAUAUUGGCGAGAGACCGAUAGCGAACAAGUACCGUGAGGGAAAGAUGAAAAGAACUUUGGAAAGAGAGUUAAACAGUACGUGAAAUUGCUGAAAGGGAAACGCUUGAAGUCAGUCGCGUUGUCCAGGGAUCAACCUUGCUUUUGCUUGGUGUACUUUCUGGUUGACGGGUCAGCAUCAAUUUUGACUGUUGGAAAAAGGUCAGGGGAAUGUGGCAUCUUCGGAUGUGUUAUAGCCCUUGGUUGCAUACAAUGGUUGGGAUUGAGGAACUCAGCACGCCGCAAGGCCGGGUGUAAACCACGUACGUGCUUAGGAUGCUGGCAUAAUGGCUUUAAUCGACCCGU
rnacentral:rRNA from 1 species